rnacentral:lncRNA from 1 species
ACUGCCUCUCCCUAAAAUCCCAGAUUUCAUCUGCUGACCGGACUUCCCAUUGGGCAUCCGUCCGGAUAUAUCCGAGUUGGUGCACGGAGGAGGAUCCAUCAAUCUGGAUUUCGUCUUCUCUUUGAACAAAUUGGACUUCCUUUUAAAGGAAGAGAUGCUGGAGAACGAACCUUGUUCCCUAGAACUGCACUUCAAAACCUCUCCUCCGUCGCCGCCGGC